UACAGAGGGUGCAAGCGUUGUUCGGAAUUAUUGGGCGUAAAGGGCGCGUAGGCGGCUGUACAAGUCAAAGGUGAAAUCCCUCGGCUCAACUGAGGAACUGCCUUUGAAACUGUACGGCUUGAGGCCGGGAGGGGGUAGCGGAAUUCCCAAUGUAGCGGUGAAAUGCGUAGAUAUUGGGAGGAACACCAGUGGCGAAGGCGGCUACCUGGACCGGUUCUGACGCUGAGGCGCGAAAGCGUGGGUAGCAAACAGG
rnacentral:rRNA from 1 species